rnacentral:rRNA from 1 species
GACAGAGGGGGCAAGCGUUGCUCGGAAUUACUGGGCGUAAAGGGCGCGUAGGCGGGAUGGCAAGUCGGUCGUGAAAGACCUCGGCUCAACUGAGGAGUGUCGAUCGAUACUGCCGUUCUUGAGGAUUGCAGAGGAGACUGGAAUUCCCGGAUGUAGCGGUGAAAUGUGUAGAGAUCGGGAGGAACACCGGUGGCGAAGGCGGCACUCUGGGCCAGUACUGACACUGAGGAGCGAAAGCGUGGGGAGCGAACAGG